rnacentral:snRNA from 1 species
UAACUGUUUGGAGCAGUC